rnacentral:rRNA from 1 species
CAGGUGUAAGUUCAGUAAUGGAUUCAGCCAAGUGAUACUAAUCGCUCGAUCGGCUUGACCAUAUUACA